AGUCUUAAUUGGGCGUUAAGUUGCAGGGUAUAGACCCGAAACCCGGUGAUCUAGCCAUGGGCAGGUUGAAGGUUGGGUAACACUAACUGGAGGACCGAACCGACUAAUGUUGAAAAAUUAGCGGAUGACCUGUGGCUGGGGGUGAAAGGCCAAUCAAACCGGGAGAUAGCUGGUUCUCCCCGAAAGCUAUUUAGGUAGCGCCUCGUGAAUUCAUCUCCGGGGGUAGAGCACUGUUUCGGCUAGGGGGCCAUCCCGGCUUACCAACCCGAUGCAAACUGCGAAUACCGGAGAAUGUUAUCACGGGAGACACACGGCGGGUGCUAACGUCCGUCGUGAAGAGGGAAACAACCCAGACCGCCAGCUAAGGUCCCAAAGUCAUGGUUAAGUGGGAAACGAUGUGGGAAGGCACAGACAGCCAGGAUGUUGGCUUAGAAGCAGCCAUCAUUUAAAGAAAGCGUAAUAGCUCACUGGUCGAGUCGGCCUGCGCGGAAGAUGUAACGGGGCUAAACCAUGCACCGAAGCUGCGGCAGCGACACUCAGGUGUUGUUGGGU
rnacentral:rRNA from 1 species